CCUACGGGACGCACCAGUGGGGAAUAUUGCACAAUGGGCGCAAGCCUGAUGCAGCCAUGCCGCGUGUAUGAAGAAGGCCUUCGGGUUGUAAAGUACUUUCAGCGGGGAGGAAGGCGAUAAGGUUAAUAACCUUGUCGAUUGACAUUACCCGCAGAAGAAGCACCGGCUAACUCCGUGCCAGCAGCCGCGGUAAUACGGAGGGUGCAAGCGUUAAUCGGAAUUACUGGGCGUAAAGCGCACGCAGGCGGUCUGUCAAGUCGGAUGUGAAAGCCCCGGGCUCAACCUGGGAACUGCAUUCGAAACUGGCAGGCUAGAGUCUUGUAGAGGGGGGUAGAAUUCCAGGUGUAGCGGUGAAAUGCGUAGAGAUCUGGAGGAAUACCGGUGGCGGAGGCGGCCCCCUGGACAAAGACUGACGCUCAGGUGCGAAAGCGUGGGGAGCAAACAGGAUUAGAUACCCCCGUAGUC
rnacentral:rRNA from 1 species